CUCUCCAGCAAUCCCUGCUCCCGCAGCCUCUCCCGCAGCGACUUCAUCUUCCUCAGGGGCACCCUGCGGACACCGGGAUCCGUCACCGGGAUCAUCCCACAUCCCGCAUCCUUUGGGACGGGGGCCCUUCCCGGCGCUCACCUGGUCCCCAGGCCCUGGGCCAGGACCACCAGGGAGAGGAGCAGGAGCAGCUUCAUGGCGGGAGCUCCGGGAAUGUGAGCCUCCGCUCCCGCUCCCGCUCCUUAUAUCCCGGCUCCCGUGUUUGGCCGGCGGCUCCGAUAAGGAAAGCAAACGGUUCCUGGGAAUCUUAUCACAACGUCCUUAAGGAAGGACAAGGUGACCGUUCCAGGAUCCACGUGGUGCCGUGAGGGAAGCCAAGAUUCCUGGCCCAGCUCCAGUGACCUUCAGCAUUCCAGUGGCAUCCGGAGCCGGACCUUCCCCUGGCUGCUCCCACUUUGACCCCACAGCUGGUCCCAGUUCUGCAGCAGCACCGGGAAAGGAGCUGCCAUCCCGGGGGAUCAGGACUCCAGAUUUUCCAAUGGAAGGUUUUUGCCAGGAAUGGGAAGUUUCAGGACAAGUUGGUUGUAAAUCCCAUCCCCGGGAGGCAAAAUCCCUCCGGAUUUUUGGAUGAAUCCUUAUCCCCAGCGGGAAGAAGUUGUGGGAUUCAGGGACGGGGAGAAAAUGGGAAUUAACGUUCACCACUAAUUAAAUCAGGAAUAAAAAGGUGGGAGGAUGGAAAAAUAACCCCUUUGAGGGUGUGAAAUGGCUUUUCCUCAGGGAGAAAUCGGGAUUUUUCCAACCCCGGUGGGGAAAUUCAGGGAUCCUGGAAUAAUCCAUCCCGGAGCUGGGAUUUUAGGUCGGGAGCAGGUGACCGAGGCCUCCCUGUCCCAGCUUUCCUUGGCACCAGAGGGCACCAAAGGAUGGGAAGAUCCCAAAAAAACCCCGGAUCUGGAUCCAUUCCUGAUUCAGGCAGGGAUUCCUGGUCAAAUCCUCCCUCCAAAAAAUUUAGGUUUGUUCCCAGAUAAUCCUGGUUUUAACGUGGAAACGCCACUUGGGAUGGAUUUAACUCCCACGGGAAUCACCCUCUGAAUCAACAUUUCGGGAUUUUCCGGCUUUUGGGACAUCAAAAGCCCGGGAACUUCCUUAAUUUUACCCCCCCAAAAAUCCCCUAACGGGGUCAGGGUUUAUCUUGGAAUGGAUUCAGGAAGGAAACUUGUUUUCCAGGCCCUGUUCCCAGUUCUUCUUGUCCCUUUAUCACCCCGGAGCUUUAUCGGAGCUGUCAGAUGAAAGGAGGGAAUUCUGAGGCUCCUGAGGAGGCAAAUCUCUGGGAUUUGCUUAAAAAUAUUGAAUUAAGUUAUCAAGGAUCUUGGCAUUCCCUGUGGGAAUGGAAUUCUGCCGGACAGGGACCUCAGAUAACCUUUUCCUACCUGGUUUUGGGUGGGAUUAACACAAAAUCCGAGGGGGGAAAAACCCAGGUGUAACCAUCUUUUAUGGAAAUUAGGGAGAUUAAUAAGAAAAUAAUGGGAAUAUCCUUUAAAAAGGAAAAAUUAUCCCAAUUUUUUUUGCCAGGUAACAUAUUUAAACGGAUAUUUUCCCAUUUAUUCCUUGCGAAUCUGAAUACAAUUUAAUUUAUCCUUAAUCCUUAAAUUUUAAUGUAAAAGAAUCCCAGGCGGAACUAUUUUAAUGGGAAUUAAGGAUAUUAAUAAACAGGUAAUGGGAAUAUCCUUCCAAAAACAUGGAAAUUAAGGAUAUUAAUAAAGUUUUAAUGGGAAUAUCCUCCCCA